CGGGACGUAGCUCAACUGGAUAGAGCAGCCGCCUCCUAAGCGGCAGGUUGUGGAUUCGAUUUCCACCGUUCCGACCA
rnacentral:tRNA from 1 species